rnacentral:rRNA from 1 species
GAACUGAAGAGUUUGAUCCUGGCUCAGAUUGAACGCUGGCGGCAUGCCUUACACAUGCAAGUCGAACGGCAGCGGGCCUUCGGGUGCCGGCGAGUGGCGAACGGGUGAGUAAUGCAUCGGAACGUGCCAUUGAGUGGGGGAUAACGUAGCGAAAGUUGCGCUAAUACCGCAUAUUCUGUGAGCAGGAAAGCAGGGGACCGCAAGGCCUUGCGCUCUUUGAGCGGCCGAUGUCAGAUUAGCUAGUUGGUGAGGUAAAGGCUUACCAAGGCGACGAUCUGUAGCGGGUCUGAGAGGAUGAUCCGCCACACUGGAACUGAGACACGGUCCAGACUCCUACGGGAGGCAGCAGUGGGGAAUUUUGGACAAUGGGGGCAACCCUGAUCCAGCC